UGGCGGCAGCCGGAUGAGGGGCGAACGCU
rnacentral:sRNA from 1 species